CGAAGGUGGGGCUGAUGACUGGGGUGAAGUCGUAACAAGGUAGCCGUACCGGAAGGUGCGGCUGGAUCACCUCCUAACAGGGAGACAAAACUGAUUUUGAUGUCUAGGUUAAUUAUUCUUAGGCCAUAAUCCUGUCACCUUAGGUCGAUCGGUACCUCAGAUUGAGGUUUAAAUGAAAAUUUAGAUCUUUAAUUUCAGUUCCUAAACUUGUCUAGGUCACACCCAACAAGGGUUUCUCCUGGGCCAUUAGCUCAGGUGGUUAGAGCGCACCCCUGAUAAGGGUGAGGUCCCUGGUUCAAGUCCAGGAUGGCCCAUUCGUUGUUGGGGGUAUAGCUCAGUUGGUAGAGCGCCUGCUUUGCAAGCAGGAUGUCAGCGGUUCGAGUCCGCUUACCUCCACUGAACCCUCCUGAUAACCCAAUUUUUGGAGACUCUUUUGUUAUAUGUGAUCAAGACAACGUCUAGCUGAAUUUAGAACUUAGCUUCCUAUCAUCAGAAUAAAUCGUUGAUAAGAUGCUGAGCUCACUGGAAUUUUAUCCAUUGAAUUCAGUAGAACCUUGACAACUGCAUAGUUAAGUCUGGAAAAAAAUAAAGCAUCUCAUGGAUGCAUAGUUUUUCAGUUAAAAGUGAUUCUAUUCUUUAUCUAGAGUAGGUCUACUUUUACAUGAAAAAUUCAUGUUUAAUUCUUGAGUAAAAAGCCGAGCUCUAUCAAUAAUUGAUGGAGUAAUAGUAUUUAAGGUCAAGCUACAAAGAGCUC
rnacentral:misc_RNA from 1 species